CACCUACUCCCUCCGUUCUAAAUUACUUGUCUUAGAUUUGUCUAGAUACGGACGUAUCUAGACUCAUUUUAGUGCUAGAUAUAUCCGUAUCUAGACAAAUCUAAGACAAGUAAUUCGGAACGGAGGGAGUAGUUC
rnacentral:pre_miRNA from 1 species